rnacentral:lncRNA from 1 species
AAAAAAAAGGAAAAGCAAAAUUAUCAUCAGCGAAACAAAAAAGACAAAAGAUCAAAAUAGCCAUAAAAAAUGCAAUUUUACCUGACUUUGUCAUAAUUUUAAAAUCAUCAGAAGAACUUUGCAAAAAAAGAUUAAUGAAUCUUCCAGAAUCUGAGAUUAUUAAAAAUCAUAAUGAUGAAAUAGGUUUUGAAAGAAGAUACCAAAAAUAUAUAGAAGCUAAUUGUCGGAAUGAUUAUUUCGAAUUUGAUAAAAAAAAAUGUAUAGAAGAUUAUUUUAUGGAAAAAGAUAUUGAAGUCUUUAACGUAAAUAUAAAUGAGACUUCAACGGUUGAGGAUAUAUUAACAAAUAUAUAUAUUUUUAUUGAAAAAAGUGAAAAGUUUUAUAAUUUUCUAUUUUCGAAUAACGCAAAGUUAAAGAAAGAUUUGGAAGAACAGGUAAAAGAUGAUACAUUACAAAAAGAAAAAGAAAAAAAAGAAAAAGAAAAAACAAUAGAAGAAGAAAUAAAUAAUAAUAAUGAAUUAAUAACAGCAGAAAAAAAAAGACAACAACUAUUAUUAAAACAUCAACAGCAAUAUAUUCAUAACCAAUCAAUUCCUUUACGUUUCUAUUUAAUCAAAAAUAUAUUACCUAUAUUAACUGAUGCAUUAAUAUAUAUAUGUAAAACAAAGCCUAAAAAUCCAUGUCUCCAUAUAGCGGAGUAUCUUUUAGAAAAUGCGCACAAGUAUAAUGUUGAUGAUGAUAGCUUGGGAAAUUUUGCUUUCGAACAGGCACAGGCACAGGCACAGGCACAGGAACAGGAACAGGAACUGGAACUGGAACAGGCAAAACAACAGAAACAGACACAGAAACAGGCACAGAAACAGGCGCAGAAACCGAAACAAACACGAACAAGAGAAGAAACAAAAAAAAAAAAAGAACCCACAAGGCGCUAAACGUUAAACGUUAAGCGUUAAGUGUGUGUAAAUAUUUUUGUAAAAUUUAGUGCUUUUUGAUUAUAUACCUUUUGUGCAUCUGCUGAAAACAUUUUAAUGUUUUUACCUUCCGUUUUACCAG